UGUUGUGCACGGAAAGCUGAGCCAAAAAUCAUUUCUCUGAAAAUAUUAAAAACGCACCAAUCUUUGCAUGCAAGCACGCCACGUGUCGCGGGAGAAGCUUCCAAAGCAGGGUUUGGUGUGCAGGUGGCAGGCUGGGAGACGCUCGUCCGUUUUGACGUGGAAAUCCACAAAAUCUGAGUUUUGAGAAACUCUCUCUCUCACUUGCACGCACACUUCGUCUUCCCCAGAACCUAAAACCUCCAUUUUUCUCCAACUUCUCUCUAAGAACCUUCAUCUUCUCUCUACCAUUACUCAUUUCUUUCAACUCCAAUCAACUUUCUGAAACCGUAGGAACGUUCACGGCGUCGUGAGCUUUCACUGGAACCGAACAUAUUAGAAUUCUGCAUCCGAGUUAGUGAAACACUUGAGAAUCACGUUGCGGGUAGGAAAUUUUGUUUGGACAAGUUAACAAACGUUCGCGUAGGGAGUUCACUGCUAGACCAGAUGGUGGUGCAUCCCUUGAACAAAUGCUGGAAGAAGAAAAUUUGGAUGAAGCUAAUCUGGUGGAAGUUGAAGUAAAGGCAGAGCCUUAGAGUGCUCGUUAGAUCAGGACUGUAAAUGUUAGUGUAGUUUGAACGUUCGGCCAAGUAUUUUGUUAGGCCGUUCGUCUUAAUCUUAUAUUCCUCUAUUUUGACGUACGUUGUUUUAUAUAUCAAAGAACGUUCGUUCCAGGUUUUCCCUUGUAUGCGUUAUGCGC